UACAGAGGUCCCGAGCGUUGUUCGGAUUCAUUGGGCGUAAAGGGUGCGUAGGCGGCGUGGUAAGUCUGAUGUGAAAUCCCGGGGCUCAACCCCGGAACUGCAUUGGAUACUGCCAUGCUAGAGUACUGGAGAGGAAACUGGAAUUUACGGUGUAGCAGUGAAAUGCGUAGAGAUCGUAAGGAAGACCAGUGGCGAAGGCGAGUUUCUGGACAGUAACUGACGCUGAGGCACGAAGGCCAGGGGAGCAAACGGG
rnacentral:rRNA from 1 species